ensembl:lncRNA
UUUAGAUCAGUGCUCAUAAUGUGUUCUGGGGAAGCUGUAAAACAGCUAAUGUGUUGGAGGGUCUCAGCGGCUUAGAAUGCCGCUAAAUUGGACAGAAAAGCAGUGAGGGGAGUAAGGGAGUUGGAAAGCAGCUGAAGGAAAAGUGGAGAAAGGAGGAGAAAGAAUGGCAGGGGGGAAGAGGAGAAAAGAAGAGAUGAGUGUUUCUUUUUUUAAAAUCCUCUGCUAAGAGAGCCACAAAAAGAGAGAAUUACACAGGAAGAAAAAUUGCCAUUGUCGCAGACAGAGACAGUGGUAAAUGGCGCGUCGUUUUGCCGUAAUUUACAAAUCGUGGAGUGGAAACAAAAUUAGAUUAAGUGGGUCCGUUGAAAUGGACCUGCUAAACAUCACUAUUAACUAGAAAGUGCAUUUUCUGAAGAAACUGCAGUGUGAAUGCUUGAAUCUGAAUGUAUGCACUGAAAUGAAUUAAUUGCUGAAUUUUGAGUUAAAAAUAUUGAAUGAGAUUAAAAAAAACAAAAAAAAAAAACGAAUUUAACCUGAAAACAAAGGUGCUGAACUGCUAAAAGCUGAAGGUUACACAGAAGAAGGAGUUGGAAAAAAACUGAAAAUGUUUUAAAUGUAAAUUAGAAAACCCUAAGAAAUGAGAAAAGAACAUUUAGAGUCAGAAAACAUCUGAAUGAAUAUUAAAAGGUCAUAUUCUUUGAAUCACUGAAUGACUCAAAUGUGAUCCCUCCACUUUGAUCCACACAGUUUAAAAAGUUUAAAUGCCUGAGCUUUGAAAGAUACGGUGUUGGAAAGAGAACAAUAAUGGCGACAAUUUGAGGGUAAAAUGAUGGCUGUAACACUGUGGACACAGCAGCAGUUGAAAGAGAAGUGCUUAAGAUGAAUCUUGGUACAGUGGCAGGCAGAGCUCGUUAAGCAGGCAGGUGUGAGCCUGGUUGCUAUAGUGACCGCACCCAAUGGCUCCAUACACACGCACACAGACAUGCACCUCACUUUUGCUGCUUAAAAUGAACAGAAAAGUCAGGCCGAAACAAAUCGCUCCCAAAUGAAAAGUAAAAGUCGUAUUGACAAAAUUCUUUCACCGUGAGCGACAGCAAUGUCUAGUCUACCUAAUUCUCAGUUUUCAUGCCUGUGGAGUUUAUUAUAUGGACGUGGUGACAGUGGAAAGACACCAUGCUCUUCUGAUUUUCAAACGAACCUUCUGAGCCAUUUUAACAUUAGAGUCUAUGGAAGAGUUGGAGGGAGGAGGCUGUGCAUUGGUGACAUUUAUGAAAGAACCAUAACACCUAGUACAAUAGUAAACACAUUGGAUGAAAGAGGACAGCCAUGGCUACGUUUUGAGGGUAAAAUCAUACCUGUAGAGCAAACGCUGUGGACACAGCAGCAGUUUUAAAAAAGAUUUUAAGAUUAAUUUUUUUGCUCCUCUCACUCUAGCAGUUGAGCUGCCUCACUCUAGCCCCAACAUUCCGUCCCAUACACACCCAUUAUAAACUCUGAAACGGGUGAAAAAACAUCAUGAAACUUAAACUGGAACUGAAGAAAAAGUAUAAUAGAUAUUGAAAAGAUAAAUACAAGUUGAAUAGUUGAAUGUCUUGUCUUCGUUUUAAAGUUUGAAUGGUGGCUCUAUGUCAAUGUAUGUGGAAGUAGUAAGAGUUUAAAAAUGAGUAAGUUGAAUGAGGAUUUGAAGGGUCUCCCCAUUGAAAUACAUUAUAAAUUUUUGUUGAAUAAAGUUGAAUAAAAUUAAAAAUAUAAAUGUUAAAAAUAUGAAAAAUAGAAGCAGUGUUGUCCAAAAGAAUAGGAAUCUAACGGUGUUUGAAUGGUUUUUCUAAGUUGAACGGUUUUGAAGUUAUAGGAUUACAAAAAACGUACGGAAUAGAUAAAUAUAAUAAUAAUAACUAGAAAGUGCAUUUUCUGAAGAAACUGCAGUGUGAAUGCUUGAAUCUGAAUGUAUGCACUGAAAUGAAUUAAUUGCUGAAUUUUGAGUUAAAAAUAUUGAAUGAGAUAAAAAAAAAACAAAAAAAAAAAACGAAUUUAACCUGAAAACAAAGGUGCUGAACUGCUAAAAGCUGAAGGUUACACAGAAGAAGAAGUUGGAAAAAAGCUGAAAAUGUUUUAAUUGUAAAUUAGAAAAACCUAAGAAAUGAGAAAAGAACAUUUAGAGUCAGAAAACAUCUGAAAGAAUAUUAAAAGGUUAUAUUCUUUGAAUCACUGAAUGACUAAAAUGUGAUCCCUCCACUUGGACCCACACAGUUUAAAAAGUUUACAUCUCUGAGCUUUGAAAGACAAGAUGUUGGAAAAAGAACAACGAUGGCGACGUUUUGAGGGUAAAAUGAUGGCUUUAACACUGUGGACACAGCAGCAGUUGAAAGAGAAGUGCUUAAGAUGAAUCUUGGCAGAGUGGCAGGCAGAGCUCGUUAAGCAGGCAGGUGUGAGCCUGGUUGCUAUAGUGACCGCACCCAAUGGCUCCAUACACACGUACACAGACAUGCACCUCACUUUUGCUGCUUAAAAUGAACAGAAAAGUCAGGCCGAAACAAAUCGUUCCCAUAUGAAAAGUACAAGUCGUAUUGACGAAAUUCUUUCACCGUGAGCGACAGCAGCUUCUAGUCUACUGAAUUCUCAGUUUUCAUGCCUGUGGAGUUUAUUAUAUGGACGUGGUGACAGUGUAAAAACACCAUGCUCUUCUGAUUUUCAAACCAACCUUCUGAGCCGUUUUAACAUUAGAGUCUAUGGAAGAGUUGGAGGGAGGAGGCUGUGCAUUGGUGACAUUUAUGAAAGAACCAUAACACCUAGGACAAUAGUAAACACAUUGGAUGAAAGAGGACAGCCAUGGCUACGUUUUGAGGGUAAAAUCAUACCUGUAGAGCAAACGCUGUGGACACAGCAGCAGUUUUAAAAAAGAUUUUAAGAUUAAUUUUUUUGCUCCUCUCACUCUAGCAGUUGAGCUGCCUCACUCUAGCCCCA